AUAGAAAUUUCCAGAGGUCCGGACAACAGGCCCUCCGAUUUGACACACUGAACUCUGUCUGCGAAGUAGUUGGUGAACCAGGCGAGGCAGUCAUUAGAGAAACCAAGGCUAUUGAGUCUGCCGAUAAGAUACGGUGAUUGACAGAGUUGAAAGCCUUGGCCAGGUCGAUGAAGACGGCUGCACAGUACUGUCUUUUAUCGUGGUUGGGGUAGCCAGGAGGAAGGCAUGGCCAGCCGUUGAGAAAUGCUUGUUGAAAUUUUCGAUUAUCAUGGAUUUAUCGGUGGUGACCGUGUUACCUAGCCUCAGUGCAGUGGGCAGCUGGGAGGAGGUGCUCUUGUUCUCCAUGUACUUCACAGUGUCCCAGAACUUUUUGGAGUUGG
ensembl:lncRNA